UCGGCCAUAGUAUAGGGGUAGAAUGCCUGACUGUCACUCAGGUGGCCCGAGUUCAAAUCUCGGUGGCCGAG